rnacentral:rRNA from 1 species
UGAACGCUGGCGGUAGGCCUAACACAUGCAAGUCGAACGGCAGCACAGUAAGAGCUUGCUCUUACGGGUGGCGAGUGGCGGACGGGUGAGGAAUACAUCGGAAUCUACUUUUUCGUGGGGGAUAACGUAGGGAAACUUACGCUAAUACCGCAUACGACCUACGGGUGAAAGCAGGGGAUCUUCGGACCUUGCGCGAUUGAAUGAGCCGAUGUCGGAUUAGCUAGUUGGCGGGGUAAAGGCCCACCAAGGCGACGAUCCGUAGCUGGUCUGAGAGGAUGAUCAGCCACACUGGAACUGAGGCACGGUCCAGACUCCUACGGGAGGCAGCAGUGGGGAAUAUUGGACAAUGGGCGCAAGCCUGAUCCAGCCAUACCGCGUGGGUGAAGAAGGCCUUCGGGUUGUAAAGCCCUUUUGUUGGGAAAGAAAAGCAGCAGGUUAAUACCCCGCUGUUCUGACGGUACCCAAAGAAUAAGCACCGGCUAACUUCGUG